GAUUUUUAGUACUGUCAGAUACAAAACAAAGCAAAACAAAACGUAGACUUAAACUUAAGCUACGUCUCCCAAAAGAGGGCAUAUUUGUACCCUUUUAUGGUAAUAGUGGUAAUCGUUCUAUAACGUGGACUCAAUCCUAUGUCAUGAGAAUAAAUCAGAAAACAAGUGGUCUGUUAUCAGAAAUACUUGAGGUACUUGAGUCAGCCUAAAAACAGCCUUUUGUAUAUAUUGAACUAUGGGAAUAACACUAGCGUUUUCUUCUACAGCACCACCUAGGGGACUUGGGCUCAGUCACUAGCCGUUUCAAAGCCCACACGUUUCAGGUUGUGGUCCCCAGCACCACAACCAGGGUCUGCCAUCCUCGAUUUCAGAAACUGACUGCUUCAGCUGUACAAGUCCUUUGAAUCGCUGUCAGUUAUUUACCGAUUUGAUAAAAUGCGUAGACAGCAUAAUUGUCUAUGAUUUCACCUUUAUUUCUAGACCAUUAACAAAAAUGAUUUUCAGCUCUGAAAAGAUGGGCAGGCUUCAUUUUGAACAGCUCCUUUUGACAAGGCAGCCUGUUCUUAAUCUGUUUAGGAUAUACUUUAUUGAUAACAUAAUUAGUGUAAUGAAGUGAUGAGCACAUUCCCAACUUCCACUCCUUGCUUCCGGGACUGCUUACGCACUCGACAGCGGGAGUCACUAGAAAUAGCGCAUCACCUGCUCUGGUGGCAUGGAGGAGGUGCUGCUCCCUCCUUUGGCAAAGGGCUGAUGGACUGCAGAAGUCAUGCUGCUCCUGCCGCCUCCCAGGCAGUACAGAAGUCUUACUAGGCAUUACGCUUUUCCAGUGAAAACGGCGUGCACAACUGAAAAGGAAAAAUCUGAGAGCGGCACACACCUAUGAUGGUCCAUCAUCAGGAGCAACGUCAAAUGCUGUCAAUUCUGUUGAUAUACUCCCUUAUCACACUGUGUCUGUGUGUUAAGUGUCCUUAUACACACUUAUCACACUAAGACCAAGGAAAAGGACAAGCAAUACCUAAUGCCUACCACGUCAUCACUAGCCAUUAGCUACUGAGCAGCAGUUUCCAGAAAAGGAGCUACAAAUUAUUCUCAUUGCUUUUCUAUUUAUAUUAGUUCCCUUUGCACUGAACAGGAUUAUUUUUAGCCACUGUUUUCUGUAACUCAACCCUUUACCCCUUGAGUUACAUUCCUAUAAGCUUCCCUUAUACACUUGGAGGUUAGCCCAUUCAACUUUCUACUUCAUACACCUUUUCAUCCCCUUUCAGUAAUGUUUGUUCUAAAGUCUUCCUUCAUUAACUUUAAACACCCAGACUCCAGAGAUCAUCUUUUUCUGUCUUCCAGGGAAGAUCAGUGUCCUUACCCUUAGGAGUGAACUUCUCCAUCUCUUUCCCCAAGAAAU
rnacentral:lncRNA from 1 species